AUUGAACGCUGGCGGCAUGCCUUACACAUGCAAGUCGAACGGUAACGGGCCUUCGGGUGCCGACGAGUGGCGAACGGGUGAGUAAUACAUCGGAACGUGCCCGAUCGUGGGGGAUAACGAGGCGAAAGCUUUGCUAAUACCGCAUACGAUCUACGGAUGAAAUCAGUGGACCGCAAGGCCUUGCGCGGACGGAGCGGCCGAUGGCAGAUUAGGUAGUUGGUGGGAUAAAAGCUUACCAAGCCGACGAUCUGUAGCUGGUCUGAGAGGAUGAUCAGCCACACUGGGACUGAGACACGGCCCAGACUCCUACGGGAGGCAGCAGUGGGGAAUUUUGGACAAUGGGCGCAAGCCUGAUCCAGCCAUGCCGCGUGCAGGAUGAAGGCCUUCGGGUUGUAAACUGCUUUUGUACGGAACGAAAAACCUUCUUUUAAUACAGGAGGGUCAUGACGGUACCGUAAGAAUAAGCACCGGCUAACUACGUG
rnacentral:rRNA from 1 species